rnacentral:tRNA from 1 species
GAGAAAGUAUGCAAGAACUGCUAAUUCAUGCUUCCGCGUCUAACAAACACGGCUCUCUCA